CCAGAGCACAUCACCUCCCACCCUUCUGAGAGCCUGGCACCCUCCCAAGGGCUGCCAGCACUAGCUGCACCCUUGCAAGUCUCCGACUAGAAAGCAGGCUGGGGCCAGUGAUCAGAUGAUAAACUCCAGCAAGACAGCAAGGGGCACAAAAGCAGAAGUCUUGAUACUGCUCAUGCUUGUAACAUUCCUUUUGCAGAACAGGAUGAUCUCAACAAAGCAUCAACAGAAGAAUGAGCAGCCUUAUUCCUGAAAUGUCUAGGAAUUCAGGGUGGACAACUAAAUUACUUAUUCAUCCUAAAAAUGUUAUAAUUUCUACAUUUAUUUAAUAAAAAUGCUCACAA
rnacentral:lncRNA from 1 species